rnacentral:rRNA from 1 species
AUUGAACGCUGGCGGAAUGCUUUACACAUGCAAGUCGAACGGCAGCACGGACUUCGGUCUGGUGGCGAGUGGCGAACGGGUGAGUAACAUAUCGGAACGUAUCCAAUAAUGGGGGAUAACGAGUCGAAAGAUUCGCUAAUACCGCAUACGCCCUACGGGGGAAAGCUGGGGACCUUCGGGCCUGGCGUUAAUGGAGCGGCCGCUAUCUGAUUAGCUAGUUGGUGAGGUAAAGGCUCACCCAGGCGACGAUCAGUAGCUGGUCUGAGAGGACGACCGGCCCCACUGGAACUGGGACACGGGCCGAACUCCUAAGGGAGGAGGGAGUGGGGAAUCUUGGACGAUGUGCGCAAGCCUGAUCCAGCCAUUCCGCGUGAGUGAAGAAGGCCUUCGGGUUGUAGAGCUCAUUCGCAAGGGAAGAAAACUUAGCCACUAACAUUGGUGGAGGUUGACGGUACCUUGAUAAGAAGCACCGGCUAACUACGUGCCAGCAGCCGCCGUAA